GUAACAUUGGUGCCUGCACCAGAUGACGAGUGGCGCACGGGUGCGUAACGCGUAUGCAACCUACCUUUUACUAGAGUAUAGCCCAGAGAAAUUUGGAUUAAUCCUCUAUAAUAUCUUUUAAUUUCAUGAUUAAUUGAUUAAAGUUUUAACGGUAAAAGAUGGGCAUGCGUCCUAUUAGUUUGUAGGUGAGGUAACGGCUCACCUAGACUACGAUAGGUAGGGGUCCUGAGAGGGGGAUCCCCCACACUGGUACUGAGACACGGACCAGACUCCUACGGGAGGCAGCAGUAAGGAAUAUUGGACAAUGGACGAAAGUCUGAUCCAGCCAUGCCGCGUGCAGGAUGAAAGCCCUAUGGGUUGUAAACUGCUUUUAUACAGGAAGAAACACUCCGACUUGUCGGAGCUUGACGGUACUGUAAGAAUAAGGAUCGGCCAACUCCGUGCCAGCAGCCGCGGUAAUACGGAGGAUCCAAGCGUUAUCCGGAAUCAUUGGGUUUAAAGGGUCCGCAGGCGGUCUUUUAAGUCAGAGGUGAAAGCCUACAGCUCAACUGUAGAACGGCCUUUGAUACUGAAAGACUUGAGUUAUUGUGAAGUGGUUAGAAUGUGUGGUGUAGCGGUGAAAUGCAUAGAUAUCACACAGAAUACCGAUUGCGAAGGCAGAUCACUAACAAUAUACUGACGCUCAUGGACGAAAGCGUGGGGAGCGAACAGGAUUAGAUACCCUGGUAGUCCACGCCGUAAACGAUGGAUACUAGCUGUUCGUCUAACAUUGGUUAGAUGAGUGGCUAAGCGAAAGUGAUAAGUAUCCCACC
rnacentral:rRNA from 1 species